UACGUAGGGGGCAAGCGUUGUCCGGAUUUAUUGGGCGUAAAGAGCGUGUAGGCGGCCUGAAAGGUCAGCUGUGAAAACUCGAGGCUCAACCUCGAGACGUCGGUUGAAACCAUCUGGCUAGAGUACGGAAGAGGCGAGUGGAAUUCCUGGUGUAGCGGUGGAAUGCGCAGAUAUCAGGAGGAACACCAAUAGCGAAGGCAGCUCGCUGGGACGUUACUGACACUGAGGCGCGAAAGCGUGGGGAGCGAACAGG
rnacentral:rRNA from 1 species